GAUGAACGCUAGCGAUAGGCUUAACACAUGCAAGUCGAGGGGCAGCAUGGUCUUAGCUUGCUAAGGCUGAUGGCGACCGGCGCACGGGUGCGUAACGCGUAUGCAACUUGCCUCACAGAGGGGGAUAACCCGUCGAAAGACGGACUAAUACCGCGUACACCCUAUGUUGGGCAUCCAAGGUAGAGGAAAUGAAAUUCGCUGUGAGAUAGGCAUGCGUCCCAUUAGCUAGUUGGUGAGGUAACGGCCCACCAAGGCGACGAUGGGUAGGGGAACUGAGAGGGUGACCCCCCACCCUGGUACUGAGCCACGGACCAGACUCCUACGGGAGGCAGCAGUGAGGAAUAUUGGUCAAUGGGCGAGAGCCUGAACCCGCCAAGUCGCGUGAAGGAUGACUGUCUUAUGGAUUGUAAACUUCUUUUAUACGGGAAUAACAAGAGUCACGUGUGGCUCCCUGCAUGUACCGUAUGAAUAAGCAUCGGCUAACUCCG
rnacentral:rRNA from 1 species